AACGGCGAGUGAAGAGGGAAAAGCCCAAAUUUGUAAUCUGGCCCUUUCUUCAAAAGGGUCCGAAUUGUAAUUUUGAGAACUGUUUUCUGUGCUGGACCAUGUACAAGUCUGUUGAAAAACAGCAUCAUUGAGGGUGAAAAUCCCGUAGAUGAUAUGGACUACCAGGGCAAUAUGAUACAGUCUCUAAGAGUCGAGUUGUUUGGGAAUGCAGCUCAAAGUGGGUGGUAAAUUCCAUCUAAGGCUAAAUAUAGGUGAGAGACCGAUAGCAAACAAGUACCGUGAGGGAAAGAUGAAAAGAACUUUGGAAAGAGAGUUAACAGUACGUGAAAUUGUUAAAAGGGAAACAUUUGAAGUUAGACUUGUUAUUGUUGGAUCAGCUUCUUUAUUGAGGUGUAUUCUGAUGAUUAACAGACCAGCAUCAAUUUUUGAGUGCCGGAAAAAGGUAUUGGGAAUGUAGCAUCCUCUGGUUGUGUUAUAGACCUUUACUUCAGAAUACGGUGCUUAGGAUUGAGGAACGCGGUAAGCUUUGUUGCAGAACCUUGUUAAACACAGGGGUCUCCUUACUA
rnacentral:rRNA from 1 species